rnacentral:rRNA from 1 species
ACGCUCGACACCUACGGAGGCAGCAGUUAGGAAUAUUGGGCAAUGGAGGAAACUCUGACCCAGCAACGCCGCGUGAAGGAAGAAGGUUUUCGGAUUGUAAACUUCUGAUCUAGGGGAAGAAGGAAGUGACGGUACCCUAGGAGAAAGCCACGGCUAACUACGUGCAGCAGCCGCGGUAAUCUGAGCGGGCUGGCAAGGC